rnacentral:lncRNA from 1 species
GAGGAAAUACAGACUAUUGUACCUAAAUUGUACCUGACUGUGACACUCCAAGUCCUAAAAACAGGUUUUAUGAUGGUGUCCAUAUUGAAAGACGCUAUCGCCCGUAACCUACGAAAGCCUGACGCAACUUUAGUUGGACGAUUGGUAAAGUAUUUGUUAGUGAAGCGAAAUGCCAAUUUGGAAAGAGAAGCAGUAAGACUGUGUAAAAUACAACCGGACCAUUAAGUGUUAGAGCUCGGGUUUGGUCCAGGUCUCGGGAUUGAAGCCGCGUGCCAACUUCUCAAAGGUGGGAAAGGUAAAAUUUAUGGAGUUGACUUCUCGGAUAAAAUGGUUAUCGCCGCGACGAAACGUGUGAAAAAAGACAUCGACGAUGGAAAGGUUGAACUGAUCAACGGUGAUGUAGCAGACCUAUCAUGUUUUGACUCCAACACAUUUGACCGUGUUUUCCAUUGUAACUGUUACUAUUUCUGGCCAGAUAUUGAUAAAGUAGCACGUGAACUCCAUCGUGUGAUGAAAUCAGAUGCAGUCAUUGUAACCACGAUGAGUAGCGAGCGAGUGAAGCGUUUAAAGGACAAGGGUUUUCUACAGUAUGGUAAUCCUGAUCAAGCACGCUAUCUGAACGCUUUAAAGUCAGGUGGGUUUUGUGAUGUUCGGUUAGAAACAUUAAAAAGCGAUCAAUCUGGUGCAAAUUAUGAUGCAAUCUUUGCGAAAAAAUAUUUUAGAUGUAAAGAAGAAAAACUUUGAUUUGUUGCCAUGCUUGUUGUUUUGUAUUGGACACGUAACGCGCACCAAUUGUGUCUCGAUUCCAUGUGCUACACAUUAGAAAAGUAGAAUGCUUGUCGAGUUUUUUUGCCUGUGAUGUUAAUAAAUGUACUGUGUAUAAAUUGUUUAACAGUACAUGCUCACAGUAUGUUUUAUCUAUAUU